UACGGAGGGUGCGAGCGUUUAUCGGAAUUACUGGGCGUAAAGCGUGCGUAGGCGGAUGCUUGAGUCGGAUGUGAAAGCCCUGGGCUCAACCUGGGAAUGGCAUUCGAUACUGGGCAUCUAGAGUGUGGUAGAGGGGGGUAGAAUUCCUGGUGUAGCGGUGAAAUGCGUAGAUAUCAGGAUUAAUUCUGAUGGCUACGGCGACCACCGGGAUCAACACUGACGCUGAGGUACGAAAGCGUGGGUAGCAAACAGG
rnacentral:rRNA from 1 species